rnacentral:misc_RNA from 1 species
UCGUGGAGCUUCGGCUCCUUCGAGGGAGAACCCUUGCCUUUUCGAGCACCUGUUUGUUUCCUCGGCAGGCCCGCCUGCCAAUGGGGACCAUUUUAAACUCUUGCAAUAACCUGAACAAAAUCGUCUGAACAAAAAAAAAUCUAAAUCA